GAUGAACGCUAGCUACAGGCUUAACACAUGCAAGUCGAGGGGCAGCAUGAACUUAGCUUGCUAAGUUUGAUGGCCGACCGGCGCACGGGUGAGUAACACGUAUCCAACCUGCCGAUGACUCGGGGAUAGCCUUUCGAAAGAAAGAUUAAUACCCGAUGGCAUAGUUCUUCCGCAUGGUUUUACUAUUAAAGAAUUUCGGUUAUCGAUGGGGAUGCGUUCCAUUAGUUUGUUGGCGGGGUAACGGCCCACCUAGCCAACGAUGGAUAGGGGUUCUGAGAGGAAGGUCCCCCACAUUGGAACUGAGACACGGUCCAAACUCCUACGGGAGGCAGCAGUGAGGAAUAUUGGUCAAUGGACGAGAGUCUGAACCAGCCAAGUAGCGUGAAGGAUGAAGGUCCUACGGAUUGUAAACUUCUUUUAUAAGGGAAUAAAACCUCCCACGUGUGGGAGCUUGUAUGUACCUUAUGAAUAAGCAUCGGCUAACUCCGUG
rnacentral:rRNA from 1 species